AUUUGCUUGAAGUUUCUUACCCAAACAGAGACAGUGAGAGAUGGCUUGCUGAAUAUAAGAAACACCUGACACUGGUGAGUGACAAAGAUAACCAGCUUCUGAUGAAUUACCCAAUUAAUAAUUUGUCCCUAUUAGACACAAGUGUUCAAGGUUUACAGUGAUUAUGUGUCAAAAAAGAACAAGGAUGCAAUUACAGGGACCCUGCUUGAUGCAGAAGUAUGAACAUCUAAUGACUGUCAAUAUAUGGAUCCCUUUUCUUUCUUGAGCUGAUAGAAGAUAUUUCUAUCCAACUUACUCUGUUUAAUGAAUGUUGUA